UUCUAGUGCUCCCUUCUUUCUGGAUCUGCCCUCUCUGUUCUUUCCUUUAUGUCUCCCGUCUUUUUCCUUCGA
rnacentral:sRNA from 1 species